rnacentral:rRNA from 1 species
AUGGAUUGCCGAGAUUUUAAGGAACAGGGCAAUGUACGAUUUCAGUAUCUUCAGAAAUGGCAAUCAAAGGGCGUAAUCAUGUUUCCUCAGCAGUUCUGUGAGGAGCACUGCACUGCAGGAUUAAUCAUGCUUCUUGAGGGGUUCUGUGAGGAGCAAUCCACUGCAGGAAAUACUGAAAUGGAUAUAAAUCACUGGAACAGCAGACCAAGAUCCACUCCGGGAGAUAAACUUCGUCCUGGUUCUCAACACUUGGAUCUGAGUUCCUCCGUCCGCUCACCAUCUCCAACACCAGCAUGCCAAAACUGUACACAUCUGACUUGUAAGACACCCCUCCAAAGUUCCGAGAGUAUAGCUCUGGUGCUAUGUAUCCCAUAG